GCUCACGCUGAGGCCACUUCUGUUUCUUUUUUCCGCACCAAAGCUCGGUUUCACAUCCCGGUUCCUCUCGACGCUCGCUCGUUCUUAUCCUCUCGCUACAGUGGCCUAAGGCGAUAAGAGGGCGACUUCGAGGCGGAGGCUGUUGCCGGCGGGGAUUCCGUCCGUCCUCUUCCUCUCCGACGGCCGGCCCACGCUCGCUCGUUCUUAUCCUCUCGCUACAGUGGCCUAAGGCGAUAAGAGGGCGACUUCGAGGCGGAGGCUGUUGCCGGCGGGGAUUCCGUCCGUCCUCUUCCUCUCCGACGGCCGGCCGGCCGUCGGAGAGGGAGAUGGACCGCGGAAUCAUCGUGCGGCUAUAGAUAAGUUAGAUAGUUACAUAUUUAGACCUAAUAACUGCUCGUCGCCGUCGGGUGGCGGAGCUUGGUUUGGCCGGCGGCCUCAAUCCGUCGAUUCCUUUCGCGUUCAGCUGGAGGAGAUGGAGUUUGAGCCGUUGCGGUUUGUGUUCCUCUUGCUGAUGGCUGGUGACAGUGUUUCGGCAAGGUGGAUUUUGUUUCUCCAGAUGAUUUCCAGUGAGUUCUCUCGCUUCAAAUCCUCAGUGAGAUUGGUUCUCCUUCUUAUCGCGGAUGCUCCUGGCGUUGGCGAUGGGGAUGAGAUUUUGCUCCUCCGAGGCGGCUCCGGCGUUCUCCGGCCAUCUUGUGAGUGGCGGAAGCCUUCCGGCCAUCGUCUUCCUCGAUGGUGGUGGCGAACAGUUGCUUGGUGUAUUUCUUUUUCUUCAGUGGCAGAAAGAAGACGGAAGACACAAGAAAGGAGUUUCUCUACUUCACCUGCAAGAGUGUUGGCCUCCAUUCUCUGGGCUUCUAUUCUCGAGUUUGUUGCUGGUUGUUUGCCUGUGCACGCCAAGUGUUUGCCUGUGCGGCCUUCUAUACGAAGCGUCAUAUAGGUCUAAAGUUAAGAAUUUAGACUAUACAAGACUUUUAGAUGAUCAUGUUGUAUUCCAGCAUGCUUGUAAUCUGAUGAUGUACUCAACUAUGGUCUAAUAUAUUCCUUCUUUCGUCUAAAAAAAAA